rnacentral:RNase_P_RNA from 1 species
UUAGGGCAAUCGCUGGCAGUAGCUAGAGGAAAGUCCAUGCUCGCACAUUCUGAGAUGAAUGUAGUGUUUAUGCCAGGUGAAGUCAUAAGCCUGGGUAGAGAAAUCUAACGGCCAGUUGACACCUAAGGGAAACUAUGGUGAAGACUGUGAAAGUGCCACAGAGACGAGCUGUAUAGGAAACGUACAGGUGGAACGGGUAAACCCCAUAAGCGAGAAACCCAAAUUUGGUAGGGGAAUCCGGUGCGGUGAAAUGAAAUCAAUCCGGGACACAUCAUGUGUAGAUAAAUGGUUGCCACUUCUUUUGAAGGACAGAACAUGGCUUAUAU